UGGGGAAUAUUGCACAAUGGGGGAAACCCUGAUGCAGCGACGCCGCGUGAGCGAUGAAGGCUUUCGAGUCGUAAAGCUCUGUCCUAUGGGAAGAUAAUGACGGUACCAUAGAAGAAAGCCCCGGCUAAUUACGUGCCAGCAGCCGCGGUAAUACGUAAGGGGCGAGCGUUGUCCGGAAUUAUUGGGCGUAAAGAGUGCGUAGGCGGCAAAUUAAGUCAGAUGUGAAAACUAAGGGCUCAACCCAUAGAUUGCAUCUGAAACUGAUAUGCUUGAGUCAAGGAGAGGAAAGUGGAAUUCCUAGUGUAGCGGUGGAAUACGUAGAUAUUAGGAGGAAUACCGGUGGCGAAGGCGACUUUCUGGACUUGAACUGACGCUGAGGCACGAAAGCGUGGGGAGCAAACAGG
rnacentral:rRNA from 1 species